GUGGUGAAUUUAUGCUUUUAUCCUUUUACUUUGAAAAAAUUAGAGUGUUUAAAGCAGGCAUUAAUACUUACGCUUUGAAUAUUUUUAGCAUCGUAUAAUAAAAUAUGACUCUCUAUCUUAUUUUAUUGGUUUUUUAAGAUAGAAGGAGGUUUGUAGGAGUCAAAUCUUGCAAAUUUCUAGAGUAAUGAUCAAUAGAAAUAGUUGGGGGUGUUUAUAUUUCAUUGUCAGAGGUGAAAUUCUUGGAUUUAUGAAAGAUAAACUUAUGCGAAAGCAUUCAUCAAGAAUAUUUUCAUGUGACAAAGAACGAAAGUUAGAGGCUUGAAGAUGAUCAGAUACCGUCGUAAUUCUAACAGUAAACUAUGCCGACCAGGGAUUAGAGAAUGUGUAAACGAAUAGUGGGGUAAAACCUCUAUUCAUAACUUCUUUAGAACCUUUGUGAGAAAUCAUUGAGUUUUUGGGUUCUGGGGGAAGUAUGGUCGCAAGGGCUGAAACUUAAAAGAAUUGACGGAAGGGCACACCAGGAGUGGAGCCUGCGGUUUAAUUUGACUCAACACGGGAAAACUCACCAGGUCCAGACACGGUAAGGAUUGACAGAUUGAGAGCUCUUUCUUGAUUCUAUGGGUGGUGGUGCAUGGCCGUUUUUAGUUGGUGGAUUGAUCUGUCUGGUUAAUUCCGAUAACGAACGAGACCACAACCUACUAAAUAGUGGAAGAAAAUGAUAUUUAAAAAGAGGUGAAAGGUAUUCUCGGAUGAGGAA
rnacentral:rRNA from 1 species